UACAGAGGUCCCAAGCGUUGUUCGGAUUCACUGGGCGUAAAGGGUGCGUAGGUGGUUGGGAAAGUUUGAUGUGAAAGCUCGGAGCUUAACUCCGAAAUGGCAUUGAAUACUUCUUAACUUGAGGGUCGGAGGGGAGACUGGAAUUCUCGGUGUAGCAGUGAAAUGCGUAGAUAUCGAGAGGAACACCAGUGGCGAAGGCGGGUCUCUGGGCAACAACUGACGCUGAGGAGCGAAAGCGUGGGGAGCGAACAGG
rnacentral:rRNA from 1 species